GAGUUUGAUUAUGGCUCAGAACGAACGCUGGCGGCGCGUUUUAAGCAUGCAAGUCGAACGGUAAGGGAGAGCUUGCUCUCCCCUAGAGUGGCGGACUGGUGAGUAACGCGUAGGUGACCUACCCUGAAGAUGGGGAUAGCUAGUAGAAAUAUUAGAUAAUACCGAAUAAGCUCAUUUGCAUAAAGGCAGAUGAGGAAAGGAGCUACGGCUCCGCUUUAGGAUGGGCCUGCGUCCCAUUAGCUAAGUUGGUGAGGUAAAGGCUUACCAAGGCAACGAUGGGUAUCCGGCCUGAGAGGGUGAACGGACACAUUGGGACUGAGAUACGGCCCAAACUCCUACGGGGGGCAGCAGCUAAGAAUCUUCCGCAAUGGACAAAAGUCUGACGGAGCGACGCCGUGUGAAUGAAGAAGGCUGAAAAGUUGUAAAAUUCUUUUGCAGAUGAAGAAUAAGGAUAGGAGGGAAUGCCUAUCUGAUGA
rnacentral:rRNA from 1 species